AUACCUUUCUCGGCCUUUUGGCUAAGAUCAAGUGUAGUAUCUGUUCUUAUCAGUUUAAUAUCUGAUACGUGGUCCAUGUGACCACACGAUAUUAAAUUAAUUUCUUGUGGGGGAGGUUGGCCGCCACCGGUAGCUUGCUGCCGGGGCCUCCUCAGGCGUCGCCCUUGCGUUGCACUACUGCUCGGGCCUGGCGCGCCCCUA